CAUAUAUUUUUUUAGGUUUUUCAUUCUGUUAUUUUACAAGUUAGUAAGGCGUACAUAGGCUACGGACACUGCUUACCAUCAGGCGGGCCGUAUGCUUGAUUGCCACCGACGUAGUAUAAAAAAAAAAAGUAGGUACCUACGUAGCGGUGGGGACGUCAAGUGAGCUACGCGCGCACAUCCCGACUAAGCUCUGCCCGAGAGUGCCCGAGAACGCCUGUCAAUGUAACGUCUGUGUGCGUAAAUGUCACGUCUUUGUGCGUGCGGCGAAAAUGGCACUUUGUACUGAGCGGACUCUCUGCUCGGGCUCACGCCGCCGCUGUUUACUGUGUGGUACCGAGUAAUAGCAUUUGUUCACUUCGCAAGUUGUCCAACAUUACCUGAGCAAUGCACCCGCAUGGCAUUGAGCGUCGGCGCUUCCCAUAACAAGCCUUGCACCACGCCAGCGGUACGGAACUCUUAAUGAGCAGAAUUUCCUCCAGAGACAGACCGAGAAAGAGAUGGCGGGACGACUUGGAUGCGUUGC